rnacentral:piRNA from 1 species
UAGAAAUCACCAGCAUCCCAUGUCCCA